GACGAACGCUGGCGGCGUGCUUAACACAUGCAAGUCGAACGAGUGGCGAACGGGUGAGUAAUACGUGGGUAACCUGCCCUCUUUUUGGGAUAAGCCUUGGAAACGGGGUCUAAUACCGAAUAAAGGGGGGUGGGCUCGCGGCCUAUCAGCUUGUUGGUGGGGUGAUGGCCUACCAAGGCGGUGACGGGUAGCCGGCCUGAGAGGAUGGUCAGCCACACUGGGGCUGAGACACGGCCCAGACUCCUACGGGAGGCAGCAGUGGGGAAUAUUGCACAAUGGGCGCAAGCCUGAUUCAGCCAUGCCGCGUGUAUGAAGGGGUAGGUGGAGAAGAAGCGCCGGCUAACUACGUGCCAGCAGCCGCGGUAAUAC
rnacentral:rRNA from 1 species